rnacentral:rRNA from 1 species
AAUGGAUUUGGCGGCAAGAUAGCUAUUUAGAGGAACCUGCCCUAUAAAUGAUGAGCCACGAAUUACUCGACUUCUAUUGGUAAUCAGUUUGUAUACCGUUGUUGUAAGUAGGCUUUUUUAGGAGACUUUCAGUAAUGAUAAAAUCAAUUACUUCAAAUAAAGGUGCAGCUUAUAUGGAAGGCAGAGGUGGGUUACAAUUUGUUGUGUGAAUGCGGAUUAUUGUUGGAAGUUGAUAAUAUGAAGAUGGAUUUAAUAGUAAAAUUUUUGGGAGUUUGAUUUUAGCACUAUUUUGUGUACACACCGCCCGUC